rfam:Solanum tuberosum cultivar DM 1-3 516 R44 scf00610_23, whole genome shotgun sequence.
GAGCAAGUGCGUCAAUGAAACGAUGACGAACACUUGCAUUGAAGGUUGGCAAUAUCAAUAAGCGAUUCUCCGUGCCUUUCAAACAUUACUUAUUUUGUUUACGGCCUCGAACAAAUCGCUAAAUU